AACGAACGCUGGCGGCAUGCCUAACACAUGCAAGUCGAACGAGACCUUCGGGUCUAGUGGCGCACGGGUGUGUCGCGUGUGGGAACGUGCCGUUAUGCUCGGAAUAACUCCCCUACGGGGGUGCUAACACCGGAUAAUGUCUUCGGACACAAGAUUGAUCGCCUUUGGAUGGGCCGGCGUUGGCUUAGCUUGUUGGUAGGGUAAAAGCCUACCAAGGCGGCGAUCCAUAGCUGGUCUGAGAGGAUGAUCAGCCACACUGGGACUGGGACACGGCCCAGACUCUUGCGGGAGGGAGCAGGGGGGAAUAUGGGACACCGGGCGAAAGCAGAAGCCAGCAAGGCGGUGUGGGGGAUGAGGGCGUUAGGGAUGUAAGGCUGUUUUACCCGGGCUGUUAUGACGGGACCCGGAGAAAAAGCCCCGGCCAAAUUCGUG
rnacentral:rRNA from 1 species